rnacentral:rRNA from 1 species
AUUGAACGCUGGCGGCAUGCUUUACACAUGCAAGUCGAACGGUAACAGGUUAAGCUGACGAGUGGCGAACGGGUGAGUAAUGCAUCGGAACGUGCCCGGUCGUGGGGGAUAACGCAGCGAAAGCUGCGCUAAUACCGCAUACGAUCUGAGGAUGAAAGCGGGGGACCGUAAGGCCUCGCGCGAUCGGAGCGGCCGAUGUCAGAUAGGUAGUUGGUGGGGUAAAGGCUCACCAAGCCAACGAUCUGUAGCUGGUCUGAGAGGACGACCAGCCACACUGGGACUGAGACACGGCCCAGACUCCUACGGGAGGCAGCAGUGGGGAAUUUUGGACAAUGGGCGAAAGCCUGAUCCGGCAAUGCCGCGUGCAGGAAGAAGGCCUUCGGGUUGUAAACUGCUUUUGUACGGAGCGAAAAGGUCUCCUCUAAUACAGGGGGCUCAUGACGGUACCGUAAGAAUAAGCACCGGCUAACUACGUGCCAGCAGCCGCCGCAG